AUCAUUCCACCAUUCCAACCUUCUUCUAUGUAGAUAAUGGAGGCUGCCUUUUUGUGGUGGGUCCAUGCCACGGCCGCUGUGAUGUUACAACCCAAUUCAACCAGGACGGCGAAUAUCUCCGACAAGAGACCUGGUCUAUCAAUUCCGGUAAUCUCCGCUGCCGUGUGCUCUGGUGACAAUAAUUCUUUUCCUGUGUUGCACAUUCUCACUUUUCUUGGUGACCCUUCUUUCCUACUUGCACAUAAUGCCUGUAAUUGCAUAGUAGUAUUUGAAUAUGCAUUAUAAUUUCUCUAUUAAUUAAGCAUAGUUUAUGAGGGUCAAAAGAAACAUUAAAAAGAGACCUGCUUGAUGUAAUGGAUAAGACUUUCAUCCGUGAGUUUAUUUCCAAACUGAUCUGUCACAUGGAAAACUGCAGCACCAUACAUAUGUAAAAACACAACCCAUUACAAGUCAGCUUCCAUUAUAAUAAAAUCACAUUAACAAUCAUUCAUCUUUUUGGGAAAUUUCGAGUCUCCUUCCUCUAAAUAGUAUUAUAGAAGUUGUUAUCCGAUAAGUCAGCUUCCAUUCAUCUUAGUGCUGGAAUUAUUAUAUAUUUGCUUUUGGUUAAUCAUAGUUUUAAUCAACCAAUUAGAACAUAAAACAAGUAUAAUUAAGUGGGAUAAGUUUGUAUUAACGUGGAUAGGUACUGACCGUCCAUGAACCAUCCUCCAUCUGAAGAAAUGUAAGAUUUGGAGAUAACA
rnacentral:lncRNA from 1 species